CCUAUUAGAAAAGCUUCUAACUUUUUAAAAAGCAUUAACAUGUUUGCGUUUCUU
rnacentral:tRNA from 1 species